GCAGAUAUCAGGAGGAACACCGAUGGCGAAGGCAGGUCUCUGGGCAUUAACUGACGCUGAGGAGCGAAAGCAUGGGGAGCGAACAGGAUUAGAUACCCUGGUAGUCCAUGCCGUAAACGUUGGGCACUAGGUGUGGGGGACAUUCCACGUUUUCCGCGCCGUAGCUAACGCAUUAAGUGCCCCGCCUGGGGAGUACGGCCGCAAGGCUAAAACUCAAAGGAAUUGACGGGGGCCCGCACAAGCGGCGGAGCAUGCGGAUUAAUUCGAUGCAACGCGAAGAACCUUACCAAGGCUUGACAUGGACCGGAUCGCCGCAGAAAUGUGGUUUCCCCUUUGGGGCCGGUUCACAGGUGGUGCAUGGUUGUCGUCAGCUCGUGUCGUGAGAUGUUGGGUUAAGUCCCGCAACGAGCGCAACCCUCGUUCUAUGUUGCCAGCGCGUUAUGGCGGGGACUCAUAGGAGACUGCCGGGGUCAACUCGGAGGAAGGUGGGGACGACGUCAAAUCAUCAUGCCCCUUAUGUCUUGGGCUUCACGCAUGCUACAAUGGCCGGUACAAAGGGUUGCGAUACUGUGAGGUGGAGCUAAUCCCAAAAAGCCGGUCUCAGUUCGGAUUGGGGUCUGCAACUCGACCCCAUGAAGUCGGAGUCGCUAGUAAUCGCAGAUCAGCAACGCUGCGGUGAAUACGUUCCCGGGCCUUGUACACACCGCCCGUCAAGUCACGAAAGUUGGUAACACCCGAAGCCGGUGGCCUAACCCCUUGUGGGAGGGAGCUGUCGAAGGUGGGACUGGCGAUUGGACUAA
rnacentral:rRNA from 1 species